CACUGGGAGAGAAAAGGAAUUAAUUAUAUGGAAAUAUGAUGUUCAAGUGUUUAAUGUUUACCAACAAAUAAGAACCAAAAGUUAUCCCCAUCUUUUGUGAACCAGAGCCCACGCACAAAGUAACAGAUGGUUCAUCUUUGUGAUAAUAAAGUAGUCUGGAAAUUAGAAUUCCUAUGUCCAAGCAUCCAAACAAUUCUUUCCAAUGGUACAGGAGGUAACCUAAUGCUGAAUUAUAGAACUAAACCUACAAUCAUACAUAUGAUACUAUGACAAACAAAUCCUACAUCUAAAAUUCCAUUUUCACAACUGCAUUUGAAACUUCAGCAGAUCCAUACCGAAGCCAGUCCUUGGCACACACCAGCGCUUCUACUGUCUCCGGACGCAAGGAAGUCCGGUACUCAUCCAGCUCUUUGUUCACAGUAUCAAAUA
rnacentral:misc_RNA from 1 species